UUUGUUUAUUCCGUUUCGGGAUGUCAUUGCAGUAGCAUGCAACAGCGCAAUCGACGACGACGACAACCAAUUCAAAUAAUUCACUCUGUACUUGAAUAAUAACUCAGUUAUGUUGUGCGGACUUUUUGUUCUUUUCUUUGUAAACGUUCAAUCGGCGAUCGUCGGUCGCAUCGUAUGCCACGCUCAUGCUCUCCUGAGCAAAUAAUCGAAGUGAAGCUUUCACGAAGCACAAUCGCAAAUGUACUUUUAUUAGUAUUGUGUUGUUGUUGGGAAGGGCAACAACAUUUGUUUAUAUGUUUGCUGUUAAGUGUGGAAAAAGCGCGGGCUUCUCUCAAACCCAUAAAUUACAACAAGUUUUGAAGUUUACUUUCCUGGCAUAAACAAAGCUAAAAGCAAGUGCCGAAACCGUUACACCAAUUCAAAUUCAAAACUAACCAAAAAUAGUUGUUUCAAAUGAUUGUCAGCCUUAUUGAGUGAAGUGAAAAGUGUUCAAGUGUUUAUAAAGGCACAAUCGAAGAACGCAAUGUGUGUCAAAGCCAAAAGAGUAUUUUAGUGCCAAUUUGAAAUAUACGAGAGAAAUCAAUGCCGGUGGUUAAACAGUAAUAAGUAUUGCACUUAACUUUAUUUGGAUUUUAAUUUGAGAAAGCUGCAAAAGCACAGUUCGGCAAAAUGUUUAUCGCUUUGGAUCAAACCAACGCUUUUUUCUCAGAUAACCCAUAUUACUUCUACAAUGACAGCAAGUCGCCGCGCACGCCGGACUCGCAGAACUCCAAUAAGACGUUUUCCAUAUUCAAGCGCCGCAAUUCGAAAGGCAGCAGUCCGCGAGUCAUCAUACCGGAACAGACGCGCCUAAUCACUUCGGCGAAUCUCGACUCGGCAGCCACGAUGGCGUUAGGCAGUCCGCGCGGCAGUUUCGGCUCUCUGGGCGGCUUCUCACAACAAUCUUUUGAAAUGCAGCCAUUGAUGUAUCGUCAGCGUUCGUCGAACUCACACUCGGAGACGUUCCGCGAACGGCUGGGCUCCUAUAACGAGUCCAAUGCCUCGACGUGCGGACUUGGCGGCGGAGGCAGUGUCGUCGGAGGCGGUGGUGCAGGCAGUGACUUUGAUGAUGUCUUUUGCAUGUCGCCCUCAAGCAAACAUCAUCACACUUUGCCGAACAGCAAUGCACGUCGUCACUCCUUCGGCAAUUGGCGGCAAGCGAGUGAACGUCAUCACCACAAGAGCACGGGACUCACCACACCGGAUGAGGUGCCGAAUAUGAUGGCUCCACGACCGCCCGUCUUAUCACCAAACAAAUAUCGCGGUUUGCAUCGACGAAGAGAUAACUGCGGCACAGUAAGCAACUCAUCAACCAACAGCUCGGGCGCCUACAAUAUGGACGACAUACUCAUUAUCACGGCGAAGCACAGCGAACGCGCCAUAUUGCGCGCCAAUUUCCUGAAGAAUCAUUUCGACAAAAUCACAAAGCAGCGCGGACGCAAGCCUUUCAACUUUUUGCACAUCAAAAUCGAAGAUGGUCCCUUCAGUGAGGAGAUCGCACACAAAUACCAAAACACCGCCUUACAGAUCGUAAUACUCUGUCCAGCGCUAUUGGCACUCUCACACUCAUUUCUUCUCUCACAGCUAACUGCCAUUAUACGGGUGGAGAAGGUACUGGGCAUACUUUUGGAUAUUUCGGAGGAUAAAGUCAAGGAGAUACAAAAAACAGCACUGCCAAGCUACUACAAAUGGCGUCGGUGCACCAUACGCGACAAUGACCAAGCGCAGAUCAGCAAUAUACUCGGCAUAGCCACGGAUAUUUUGGGUCGUGCGCUAUGUCAACGACCACCGUUUCACGAUCACAGCAGCAUUUCGCGUAGUUUCUCGAGCUGCUCGGAAGGUUUCACUAUACUUCCGAAGAAAGUGAAGAUCGGACAGAAUAAAGUCGUGGCAAUUUUAGCCGAACCACUAGAAAAAGAUGACAUUAUCAAGAUAAUAGUGGAGAAAUCUGGUGAGCUAAUUGAAAUCAGAAAUUUCAAAUCCCGCAAUCCAUUCACCGUGCAGUUCUCGAUACCAGAGUCCUGUAUGGAAAUCUCGACUAUGGUUGAGAUACGCAUUGAAAAGAACGAGAAGAGUCUCGGCGCUCGACCCAUCAAAUGUGAAAGUCGCAUGCGCGAGCUCGAGCAGUUGUUACGCACCGAAGACUCUCCCAUCGAAUUCAUGUGCCACUCACUGGGUAUUGGACCAGCUGAACGAGAUGCGCUCGAUUUACAUUUGCUGCAGUGCUUCCAGAAGAAUAUGCCGCCCAAUUUUCAUUUACUGAACGGUCCCUAUGAGAAGCAACAUCACUUCUUGACCAUACGUGAAUCAAGCCCCGAGGAAUAUCCCACACUUUUGCAUUUUGCAGCACGUUGGGGUCUCAAUCGUCUGUGCAUUCAGUUGAUGGAGUGUCCAGGUGGUGAUACCGCAUGUGGCAUACGUAAUUGUAUCGGCAAGACACCUGCCGAACUGGCCGAUCAAGAAGGGCAUCACAAGCUAGCGACGAACAUUGUUAGUUUCUCCGAGUUUCAUGAACUCACCACAAUGUAUCACUACUUCAAAGGUAUAAGUGGGCCCAGUGGACAAACCAAUAAUAAUCAAGCAGCGGUAAAUGGUAAAAUGACUGGCAGCAACCACAACCUCAACAAUCAGGUUAACAACAAGGUCGUUAUUGAAGCUGUAAAGUCGACACCGACGUCACCCAAAAUGAAACAACCGAAACCACAAAAACCCACACCAAAAGAACCGCAGGAUUUACAACCUGCGGAGUAUAUGGAAAUGUCAAGUGGUUCUGAACGUGAAAAUACACCUGACGCCAAACCGAAGACAGAGACAUUAGCCGUAUCGAACUUAAAUUACAUAAGCGUCGAAGCAGAGGAUGAGAAUUUGCAAGGCUCUUCCGCUGACGUUUGCAAGAAUUUUGAGAAGGUUGUAACUACACCCGAAGUAACUACCAAUGAACUACGCAUAAGUGAACCACCAUAUUACCAAUCAAAGGAGCAAAAUAAAUCUGUUGAUGUCACUGAUUCGCCCUACCAAACGGAUAAGUUCAGUCAUGAGUGUUCACAAUUGCUGGAAAGCUGCACCGGCACAACUGCCAGUAACGAUUAUGUACUCCAGCCAGCGAAUAUACCACUACCACCCAAACCGGCUAGUACACAAACACCAACAGUCGCAACCAACCCAAAUACUGAUGAUGGCAAUUACCUGUUUCAGCCUUCGAACCGACCAGUCGAAGAUGAAUUGUUGCCACAGAAUCGUCUCAGCUUGAGUCGUUCAUUAAGCUCUUCCUCUCGCGCUGGACAAAACCCCACUUAUGGCACGUUGAAACGUACUGCCUCAGACGCGUCCAGCGUAACUACACGUUCCAAUGCCGAUGAUGAAUUGGCAGAAAUUAUGCACGACUUCAAGAACAAUGUGCUCAGCAUACGCGAUGUGGAGUUGUUGGUCGAAAAAUGGAAACACCGCAACGAUGUGCAACAAAGUUUCCGUGAGAAACAAGAGCAAAUCGAUCAGUUACGUAAGGAAUACGAUCGUAUACAGGAAAAUCUGAGAUCUCAGCUGAAACGCGAGACACCCUUUGAGAAAAUCAAGAAACUCUUCUCCAGGCAUAAAUCCACAACGAAUUUGCCGGAGAAGGCUUCUUGUGCUGACAGCGUGCUUGACGAAACGAAAUCAUCCAUCACAACCAGUUCAAGUUUUAAAUCCUCACAACGCCCAAUCAGCUCGUUAAGCUUGCAGAGUGUUUCUUCAUCAUCGUCUUCAGCGCGCCUCAGCACUGGCAGUAACUGCAGUGGCACAUCACUGGGUGACUCUGGCACACACUCCGACCACGAAGAGCGACGUUUCGGAUGCCGUCUGGCUUCACCAGCUGCGCUUAUGGAUAACUACCUUAUACCGCCACCACCACGUCCCGUGCUCACACCAAAUUCAACGCCCGGUGAAGAGCGUCAUCAGCUCGUUUUCCCCUCACCGAAAUCAUCACUCCAACGGCUAAACACACCCACAAGUCCCACCGGUGGCGAACACUACCAGAUGUUCCCCUCCAACAUCCCCGUCUACACUAGUCAGAACUUAUCGACAUCCCAGCCCAACAACUACCUGAACACUAUUAUGGAGGCCAAAGAGAAUGACGCUACUAGCGCUUGCAGCAACAGCGGUGGCAAUCAUCAAUACCAAAAUGGCGUCACUUUGAAACCCAUUAAAAUAAACGAACGCGCGAAUAUCAUCUAUGGCAAGCUAACGAAAGCUUCGCCCCCUUGCACCUCAUUUAAACCGAAGCAAGUUGCGGUGCCUCAGGUGGGCAGCAUUGAAGUGCAGGCUGAAGUUUAUCAAAAUGUCGGCGCAAACCUGGAGCAGAUCAAGGAAGUUGAGCCGGUGAAAGAGAAUGGCGCAGUGACGGUAGUGGCCACCGAGUCGGCAAACUACAUGAACUGCUAAACGAAGCAUGCUGAAGGGAUCAGCUUUUACAUUUCGGAAAAUUUAUAUUUGUAAGUGUUUAAACGCUUGCUGAGAAAAUUCGAUUUUAAAAUUUUGAACAAAAAAACAUCAAAAUACUGUAAAUAAGCAUCAUAUGUACCAUUAGGUACUCUACGGUAGUAUAUUUUUUUAUUUUUAAAUUAAAAUAUAUGUAAGUGUUAACAAAAUUAAGUGCUAGAUGUAAUUAUAAUUAAUUAAAGCUGUAAUUGUACAAUACGAAAUGAGUAUGAACUAGUUAAAACGUUUCAAAAUUAAAUAUAAGCUUACAGAACACAUGAAAUCAAGGGUUAAGUUGGUGGCAAUUCAAUUUUCAUCGAACGCUAAAAAAACUGUUUUUAUAUGGAGAUAUACUUGUAUUACUAGAGUUUUUGCAGACUGCUUAAUCAAAAGAGCUUAAAGCGCCACACUAAGAUUUCAAGUUCGACUAAAAAAUGUUGCUGUAAAUCCAUUCAUGUCAAAUGAAAAUUUAUUUUAUACUGUAUUCUAUUUAUAAUCAUUGCAUUAAGUUAAAUAAUUGUUUAAGCAUUUUAUCGUUAGCACUUGUAACUGUACAGUACAGCAACAACCAAACAUAUUGCACACAUAUCAAUUGGUUAGUUUAAAGAUUGUUUUUUUUUAUAUUAAAUUUAGUCUUUUAAUUUUAAGCUAUGCAUCGAAGCACUCAAGUUGUAUUUGUAAUAUUGAUGGCAAUCAAGAGCAAAAACGAACAAACCAACGAUUUUAUUUUUCACAGCAAAUUAUUUGCGUUUCAUUUGUAUUAGACCGUAAGUUUUGUAAGCUUUUGAAGAGUUUAAGUUCAUUCAUAAAUAUAUAUACAAGUAUAUAUAUAUAUAUAGGUAAGAGAUAGUUGUCGGCAUGCACAUAUACAUACACACAAGUACAUUAUGUAUUAACUGAAGUUCUUAUAUGAAUUAAAAAUUAUUAUAAAAUAAAUCCUUAUUCUACAUGUAACCAGCUGACAUUCAUAAAACUCAAUAAUCUAAUAAAUAUAUUUUAAUAAAUUUCGAAAAGGUGA
rnacentral:misc_RNA from 1 species